GAAAGAUUUAUCGCUCCGGGAGGGGGAUGCGUCCUAUCAGGUAGUUGGUGGGGUAAUAGCCUACCAAGCCUAUGACGGGUAACCGGACUGAGAGGUUGUACGGUCGCAAUGGAACUGACAAACGGUCCAUACUCCUACGGGAGGAAGCAGUGGGGAAUCUUGGACAAUGGGGGAAACCCUGAUCCAGCGAUCUCGCGUGGAGGAUGAAGCCUUACGGGGUGUAAACUCCUUUUCUGGGAGAAGACGAAUGACGGUAUCUCAGGAAUAAGGGACGGCUAACUACGUGCCAGCAGCCGCGGUAAUACGUAGGUCCCAAGCGUUAUCCGGAAUUACUGGGCGUAAAGAGUCUGUAGCUGGAUAUAUAAGUCUAUUUUCAAAUACUCCGACUCAAUCGGAGAAAGGGAAUAGAUACUGUAAAUCUAGAGGUAUUCGGAGGUUAGUGGAAUUUCCAGUGGAGCGGUGAAAUGCGUUGAUAUUGGAAGGAAUGCCGAAAGCGAAAGCAGCUAACUAUAAAUUACCUGACAGUGAGAGACGAAAGCUUGGGUAGCAAACGGGAUUAGAUACCCCGGUAGUCCAAGCCGUAAAUUAUGCUUGCUAGAUGUUUGGUCCGCUUCGUCGGACUGAGUGUCGAACCUAACGGGUUAAGCAAGCCGCCUGGGUAGUAUAUUCGCAAGAAUGAAACUCAAAGGGAUAGGCGGGGGAACACACAAGCAGUGGAUGACCUCGAUUAAUUGGAUAUUAAGCCAAGAAUCUUACCUAGGCUUGACAUAUGAUGUGUCAUCAGUGAAAGCUGGUUAAUCCGAGCAAUCGGGUACGUUAUACAGGUGGUGCAUGGUCGUCGUCAGCUCGUGCCGCAAGGUGUCCAGUUAAGUCUGGUAACGAGCGCAACCCUCGUUCCAUGUUAGUAUGUCAUGGAAGACUGCCUGCGCAAGCAGGAGGAAGGAGAGGAUGAUGUCAGAUCCUCAUGCCCCUUAUGUCUAGGGCUUCAGAGGUCAUACAAUGGGAAGUACAAUGAGAAGCAAAACCGUGAGGUGAAGCAAAACUCGAACCCUUCCCCAAGUUCGGAUUGUAGUCUGGAACUUGACUACAUGAAGUUGGAAUUGCUAGUAAUGGUGAAUCAGCAAUGUCACCGUGAAUAUGUCCCUGUUCCUUGCACUCACCGCCCGUCAA
rnacentral:rRNA from 1 species